rnacentral:rRNA from 1 species
CGUAGGUGAACCUGCGGAAAGGAUCAUUA